GGUGUAGCCAUAGUCCUUUCUCACGUCCAUGAAGCCAUCAAAGCGAUCGGGCCCGCCGACCAUGGCGCCGGUGAUCACAUUGGGGUUGGAGGAUUUGGCAUAGAGCCACUUCCGCCCACCGGUGCACGAGUACUUGACGCCAUUGUCAGGGAUGGAUGCGCCACGGUGAUGCACCUGCUUCGGGUACUUGUUGCCAUAACCCACCACAUAACUCAUCUUCUUUGGGUUGUCUCCUAAGAUGUAAUUCAUCUGUGAUACAAGGAUGGCUAAAUUAGCUGCAGUGGAAAGGAGGUCAGAGUGAUGGAAACGCCGAUGCUGGCAUCAAAUUUUUAUAAUUGGUGGAAAUGAAUUGAGCCAAAAAAAUUGAGUGCUGCAUCAGUGGAAAAGAUCAGAGGUUAUUAAGGGGGAACCUGGGAGGCGGCGAAGCUUCGGAGGGAGCUGGUGGAGAAGUAGAAGGGCCCGCAAUACCAUCCGGGGACAUUAGCAGCGUCCAUAUAGUCGGCAUACAGGGAUGCCAGGAAUGCCGUAGCCGCUACAUAUUGUAGCGGCUGAGGUCUUCCGUGGUUCAGUUGGAUCAUUCCACCUGCAUGCAACCAUAUCUUGUUAAUUAAUAAGCAAAUGAGUGUGUGUAUAUAUAUAUAUAUUACAGAAGGUGUCAGCUUGUCAAACUCGUAAACUUCUUGGUUAGUAAUAUUCAAUAUUUCUUGACUAUAUCACAUUUAAGAGUUUGUAUUCUAUAAAUCUAAGGUUUUCUAUA